rnacentral:rRNA from 1 species
UACGGAGGGACUAGCGUUGUUCGGAAUUACUGGGCGUAAAGCGCACGUAGGCGGAUUUGUAAGUCAGGGGUGAAAUCCCGGGGCUCAACCUCGGAACUGCCUUUGAUACUGCAAAUCUCGAGUCCGGAAGAGGUGAGUGGAAUUCCUAGUGUAGAGGUGAAAUUCGUAGAUAUUAGGAAGAACACCAGUGGCGAAGGCGGCUCACGUCGUGCCGGUA